rnacentral:lncRNA from 10 species
GUGGCGCGUUGGCCGCGGCGGCCAGGCUGCUGGGUGUCGCGGGGGCGGCGGCGGGGGCGCCGGGGAGCUCUCGGGGAGCGGGGCGCCGGAGGAGGAGCCGCUCCGAGGGGCCCACCCGCGAGCAGCGGGGAAGGCGGGGACCCGGGCCCCGCGGGCCUGCAGCGCCCCCGCACCCGGUUCCACGCGCCCAGGGCCGCCCCCGCGGAGAGAGGGGGCGCGAGGGGCGCGCCUCUCGCUCGGACACCCUCUCCCAGCUCGCGCCCCAGGUUUUCUAAUUGUUUAUGGAGAAGAUUGAUCUUCACAAGCUAGUUUUUUCAUAGGCAAAAGCAAAAGUCUCUUCCUGUGUUAUUAAGUGAAAAUGGCUGAUUAUAAAAAGGCCCUGGGUCAGGAGGUUGCCGAUUCCAGGAAGAAUCAGACCUUAUCCCUGCCCUUGAGUCUCAAGAAGAGGAAAGGAAAACAAAUAAGCAUAGUACAGUGUGAAAAGUGGGACUGUGGUCAAAUUUCAGUCUGCAAACUCAGAAUGGAUGAAAUAUGAAAGACUGACAACAUCAAGUUGUCAAGUAGGACAGGAUGUGGAACCACUGGAACUCAUACGUGACUGAUGGGAAUGCAAAAUGAUACCGAUCCCUUGGAAAACUCCUUGGCAACUUUAAUAAACAUAAAUCUACCCUAUGAUCCAGAAAUUCCACUCUGAGUCACGUCUCCAAGAGCAAUGAAAAUAUAUACCCACAAAAGACUGCACAUAAAUCAGAACAGCAUUGUUGAUAAUAGCCCAAACUGGAAACAACCUAAAUAUUCACCAAUAGAAGCCUGAAUAAAUUCAUACUGUGGGAUACUCUACAGCAAUGAGAUCAUGAAAGAUAGUGUGGCUUCCACUUUGGUCUCUUAUAUCACCUACUGGGGGAAGCCAGCUGCCAUGUUGUGAGGACACUCAAGAAGCUCUGUGGAGAGGCUCUUUUGAAGGAGAACCAAUGCCUCCCACCAACAGCCAGCAUCAACUUGGGACAUGUGAGUGAACCAAUUGGAAGUGGAUCCUCCAGCCAAGUCAAGCCUUCAGAUGACUGAAGCCCCAGCCUCAUGAGAGAUAGCAGGCUAAAACUGCCCAGCUAAGCUGCUCCUGAAAUCCUGACCCCCCAAAUUAUAAAAGACAAUAAAUUAUUAUUGUUGUUUUAAGCCACUACAUGUUGGGGUGAUUCAUUAUGCAGCAACAGAUAAUAAAUACAUCACCCUUGUAUUCAUUACUGACGUUUAUUGGGAGCAUAGUGUGUGAUUUUUCAUUUAACCCUUCCAGUAAUGCUGUGAGAUAGGUAAGUUUAUUAUCCCCAUUUUACAGACAAAGAAACUGAGGUUCAGAAUGAGUGAAGUCUCUUCCCUGCAGAGUCCCUGACCUUAAGGAUUUUAUGGUCAGAUCUGAGAGACAGAAGCUCAAAAACCUAUGACUCUAGGCAAAAUAUGGCCCUGGGAUCCCAGGAUGGGGAGAGGAAUUUUGGAUUCUGGCUUCUACUUGGGCCUCAUAGCUUGGGAUGACAGAGGGUACACUCCAAAGGCAACAAACACCUUCCCUGCCCUUGAGCACCUGCUUAAUCAAGGGGAGAAAGUUCAGAUGCUUAUGCAUAAUGUGUGGUAUUUCUCUGCACAGAAACACACACGGGCCUGUACAGUAAUAAUGAAAAGCAACAACCCAUCUUAAGGGCUUGGCACUUUGCACUUACAAAGCCUUAUACAUCCCUAAUUCCAUGGAAUCACACCUGGCAGGUAAGCGUGGCCCUGUACACUUUACAGAUGGGGACACUGAGGUCAGGGAAGUUGUGUGAUUCUUGCAGAGCCAAGCAGCCUAGAAGUGGCAGAGUUCAGGUAAAACCCAGUAACUGGGUGUUUUACAAGUGCUAAGGGUAUGACAGGAGGUAGGCAGGGCUCCUCUGAGGGAGGUUUCAGGAAGAGGUCACCCGCGAGCAGGGUUCUGAGAAUGGGGAAGUGGCUUCGGGGAGAGGAUGGUGCCUGGGAGGGUUUGAGAGGAAACAGAGUGAGUCCCUAGGGGCUCCCAGGGUGUACGAGGGCAAAGAGGUGAACAUAGCUGGAGUGGAAAGAAUGAGAAAGCCUGGGUGUGUGGAAGAGCCUUGGUGUGUUAGGUGGAAUUGCAGCUGGAGGGUGUGUGCAGAAUGAGAGGUCUUGGUAUUGGGGCCAAAGUCAACUGCCACGCCUAAGGAGGGAGGAAGGCGCUUAUUUUGCUUCUUGGGUGAAAAUCAUUCCUGUGAUUUAGUUCUCCUUGGGGGAGGGGCGGGGUUUCAUCCAGCCUUAGCAAAUGCAUUCAAUCUUCACUACUUCUCUCUGUCAGAUGGGGUGGAUAGAGGUCCAAAUGUGGGCAGAAGCUUUUAUGUCCCAUCGCAGGGCAGCUAAGAACAGCUGCGCGGGUCGUUCACUGUACAUGGGCACUAGGCCAAAAGGGACUGAAAUCCGGACGGCCCUUUGUUUACUAAGCCAUGUGCCUGCAAGGCUGCACCUGCCCAGAAGGAAUGCUUCCUAUUUCUUUUCUUUAAAAAAAAAUUUUUUUUAUGAGCUAAAAUUCACAUAACAUAGAAUCUACCAUUUAAACCACUUUAAAGUAUAAAGUUCAGUGCUUUUAGUAUAGUCACAAUGUUGUGCAACCAUCACCACUAGCAGUUUUCGGAACAUUUCCAUCAUCCCAAAAAACAACUCCAUAACUCCUAAUUCCCCCCCUUUCCCCAUCUCUUGGCGACCAUGAAUCUGAACUUUCAUAUGAAUGGAGUUCUAUAAUUUGCUGUCUUCUGUGACUGUCUUCUUUCAUUUGGCAUUAAAACUUUUCAAGUUUUACCCAUGUUGUGGUAUGUGUCUGUACUUCAUUCCUUUUUAUGGCUCGAUAAUAUCGCAUUGUGUGAAUAUUCCACAAUUUGUGUAUCCCUUCAUGAGUUGAUGGACAUAUGGGUUAUAUCCACUGGCUGUUAAGAACAGGCGGGUCACGGUGGCUCACGCCUGAAAUCCCAGCACUUUGGGAGGCUGAGGUGGGCGGAUCACCUGAGGUCAGGAGUUCUAGAUCAGCUUUGCCAACACGGUGAAACCUUGUCUCUACCAAAUAUAUAAAAAUU